rnacentral:tRNA from 1 species
CUUAGGAUAUUAAAACCAAGGGCCUUCAAAGCCCUAAAAAAGGGUGCAAGCCCCUUAGUUUUUGUAAGACUUG